rnacentral:rRNA from 1 species
AUUGAACGCUGGCGGCAGGCCUAACACAUGCAAGUCGAGCGGAGCGGCGGACGGGUGAGUAAUGCCUAGGAAUCUGCCUGGUAGUGGGGGAUAACUCCCGGAAAGGGGCGCUAAUACCGCAUACUAUCAGAUGAGCCUCGGUCGGAGUAGCUAGUUGGUGGGGUAAAGGCCUCCCAAGGCGACGAUCCGUAACUGAUCUGAGAGGAUGAUCAGUCACACUGGAACUGAGACACGGUCCAGACUCCGACGGGAGGCAGCAGUGGGGAAUAUUGCACAAUGGGCGCAAGCCUGAUGCAGCCAUGCCGCGUGUAUGAAGAAGGCCUUCGGGUUGUAAAGUACUUUCAGCGGGGAGGCGUUACCCGCAGAAGAAGCACCGGCUAACUCCGUGCCAGCAGCCGCGGUAAUUC